AAGAAGGGACUGCUUCUUGGUUCGCAAUCUACACCAGACGAGGCGACGAUUCAGACUUUUGAUUCUAAGAAGAAUGAAGAUGUCAAAAGUGAAACAGAUCUCGAAGAUGAAAACGCUGUAGAAGACUCUGCUCUUCUAGAAAAGACAUCCCCUGACGUCAGCUUGAAAUCAGAGGGAGCAGCGCUGGACAAAAACGGCUCAGCAGCCCUCGGCGAUGUCAGGCCAACUGUUCAGUUUACUGUGGAUGUGACCAAAAUGUCAAAUGCAACU